AAAAAGAGUUUCCAAGCUGUUCCCAAAUCUCCUGUGGAAGAUCUGAAGAGACCACGCUAUCCCAGUUUUUGAAGGCCUGGGCUCUGGCUGCCUGAGUUUGUCAUUUUGGCUGGGCCUGCACGGCUUUGUAUUACUUCCCCACACUGCUCCCUCCUCUGGGCCUGUGUCCACCAAGUUCCUCCUGGGUACUGAAAAUAAGGGAGGGAACAAUCAACCCCUUCACCCCCCUUAAGAGAAACCAGACUGACAGGAGAAGCAGGGAAGCAGAAAAAUGUUCCUUGUACAGCCUUCUCCUAGGCAGAGUGUGGGCUUCCUCCUCAGGUUCAGAUCUGCAAGGGACCCCACUGAGAUUAACAGGUCCACCUCUCUGGAUAUCAGAUUGACUGCCUUUAGUAACUAUCAGGCUCUUUCUCUCCCACGUGACUGUGACAUGGGGAUCACCCUGGCCUGCCUUCCGUGAUAAUCCUCUUAGGUUUGCCAGAAUUCCCCUAUCCCUCAUGUUUCCGCUUAGAAAUUUUCCGUCCACUGACUCCUCCCUACCACUUGACUGUGCUGUGUAGGGACUUGAACUCCCUCUGUCCUCUACUGCAGUCCAUCCAUCCUGUACCUGUGGUGACGGCCCUGGGUAUUCUUCCUCAACAAGUGGCACAGAACAGUUUCCUCUUGGACAUGGGCACGACAGCAGAGUCCCUUUUUAAGGUAAAAGCUGCUCAAAGGACACUCCCUCAGUUCUCAGAUUCACUUGUGCCAGAAGGGCCCACCCGCACUGGUCUCUGAUUCUCGCCCCAACUGUCCCUCAAAGUGUACUCUCAAAGCUCCCAGAUGCAUCACCAUCAUCAUCACCAUCAUCAUUAUCAUCAUUAGCAGCAGCAGCAGGUCCCUGCAGAUUCUCAGAGCCUGGAGUUGGAUUAUUUCUUAAGGGCUGAGAAUCAAACCCAGGCCUGUACACCUUUCCACUGAACUACAUCCUGACCCUCUCUCUGAUCAGUCAUGACCUCUAUAAAAGCAGCCCAGUUUGGAUCCUGUUUAUAAUGUCCUUGCCUCAACUGCCUACACACUCCUCUAUCUUCUUUAAUCUACAGACUGGAACUCCACAGCCUGGUCCACCAUUCCCACCUAUCACAACACCAUCCAGGACCACAAAACUGUGUCAAGAACAUCUGAUAUCUGAAAACUAUCGCCACCUGGGUUGUCCACAAGUUUUUAGUUGUGUCUGGUCCAAAGGCUUCCAGAGUAACAAAAAAGUUAAGAUUCCAAGUCUGGAUGAAAAUGACCUGACCAUUUCAGGCCUGCUAAGUGAGCUUGAACAAACCACUCUGAAGAAAGAGGCCCUGGAUCACUGGGUGCCUGUUUGUGGGUCCUGGGCUAGUUGCUGGUCUCUGCUAAGUUCUUACCAUGUGAAGUCAUUGGUUAUCUGUAGAGGGAAUUACCUUUUGUCUGGACAAAUCAUUUCACUCUGACAUCUCAGAAUGGACUUCUAAAAAGAUCCUUUCAUGUGCCUCCUUAGGGCAUAGGCUUUCGCCUCUUCUCCCGCCCAGCUCUUCUGCCCUCACUGAGUUCAGAUGAUUGAAGUAGGGCAGGCUGGAAGCAGCAUAGAACAACCAUCUGGCUCCCAGCCUGGAGCAAUAUCCCUGCUGCUGCUGAGUCAAUGCACAGCACGCUGGGGCAGCCUGGCUAAUCUCUGUGGGUGUGGCCUCCUCACACAGGCCAGCCCAGGCUGCCUGGCACUGUUUGCUGACAGGCCCUAAGCAAUAGAACAGCAGAAGCCAAGUGGGAACUUGAGUUUGUACUGCCAGUCUCCAUGGCAACAAGUAAGUCAGCACAGAGAACAUUCUCAAACUGGCAGAAAAACCCUCAGCCCCACCCUGAAAAGCUAUCCCUCCCUGGGCAGCCAGCAGAUCCCCGAGGCCAAAUCCCUGGAAAAAAGUCAAACACACAGAUACUUUGUAAAAACAUAGCAUAUUCCCAGAUGGCUUUCCCUCCCAGAAUGUACAGGUGAUUUGACUGGCACAGAUGUAUCUUUGGAAUGGUGGAAAUGUCUAGAGAGCCAAAGGUUAUGCCUGGUAGAGGAAGAAAAGUUCACAUGAUGGCAUAGCAUGCCCUCCCCAAACCCUGCAAUAAAUAGUAAAAACCUGUAUCUAAGUAAGAUGUGCAGAACUCCAAAAUCUAGGUGGGUCCUCUUAUAACAGAACUCAUCAUAUUUCCUUUGUUCAGACUAAGGAAAAGAAUGUAGAGAUUCAGAGAGUCUGCACAACCACUGUGUCUAAAAACACACAAGCACAGCACUUGGAGGUAGAAGUAAGGGUUUCACAGGGUUUCACAGGCUGGGCAGGCCCUGUCUUAGUGAUUUCAGGCAGAUCGAUCCCAUGCUGAUGUGAUACCAUCUUGGAUAUGCUGGGUUAAAACAGUAGGAUGAAUUUCUUUUUUUUGGGGGGGGGUGUUUGAGACAGGGUUUCUCUGUGGCUUUGGAGGAUGUCCUGGAACUAGCUCUUUGUAGACCAGGCUGGUCGCUAACUCACAGAGAUCUACCUGCCUCUGCCUCCUGAGUGCUAGGAUUAAAAAGGCAUGCGCCACCACUGCCUGGCUUAGUAGGAUGAAUUUCUCUGGCUUAAUUUUUACUUUGCUAAUGUAACCACUAGAAAAUGUUAAGGUGCACGAACACCCUCUAACUACACCUAUUGGACGGGGCUUGUCUAGAACACUGACAAUUCCUUCAUUUGCAGAGAGAGGAAGAGAAGGGCGCACAUACUGCUAGUGACAAUUGGAGGCUACUGCGGGACUGUACUAACCACUUCCCCAGAACUUUGAAUUAUGGGAACCAAAACUUUCUUCUGGAGGUUGAGGGGGAAAAUUGCUGUUCAUAUAACAGUUCAAAACUAAGAUAUGCAUCAUAACCUUAAAAGGCUAGAUUGGAGCCGGGUGUGGUAGUGCACUCCUGUAAUCCCAGCACUUGGGAAGUACAAGCAAAAGAAUCCAAAGUUCAAGGUCAUCUCUUGACACAUAGAAAGUUUGAGACCACUUUGGGUCAUGAGACCCUGUCUUCAAAACAAACAAAAUAUAACAUUGCUGUAGUGUAAAUCCACACAUUGCUUUUUAGUCUGAGAGAGUGAGUAGGACCAGAAUAUUCCAGAAUAAAUUUAUAUGCUUUAAAAACCUGUUUCAGUCACAAGGGGUAUGAGUAAGUAAUAGAGUGUAUCUUCAAAGGCCCACAUUCGUGGGGUUGGGAAGAUGGACAGGGGGUAAGGCACUUGGUACACAAGCAUCAGUUUGGAUCACUAGGACACAAAUAAAAACCCAGGUUUAAUGGCAAUGUAACACUGAUGCUGGGAGUCAGAGACAAGUGGGCCCUGAGGCUUAGCCUUGUCUAACCAGAAAGCCCCAGAUUUAUUAUUCCUCAAAUAAUAAUAAUGAUAAUGAUAGUAAGUAAUAAUAAAAGUAGAGCCAGGCAUUGGUAGCACACACCUUUAAUCCCAGUACUCAGGAGGCAGAGGGCAGGUGGAUCUCUGUGAG